AGGUUGGAAGUUGAAGAAAAAAAAACUUAAAAAGAAAAAGCUAAGGAAUGCCAAAUACUGGAUAUGUGGAGGAAUUCGAUAAAAUGGAGAGCCUUAAUGAGAAAUGUGCACACUUGUGACCUAAAGAAUGAGCUCAUGGAGCCAAAGGAAAAGGACAGACCUAACAGGGGAAUCUAUGAAUCAUAUCAGAAGGAAUCUUUGCAUGUUUUGGACUCAGACUGUGGAGGAUAUCCUGAGGACUGUGAAGAAGAUUAAGCAUGAGAAUGGGAUUAUCUGAGAAAUAAUUCAUUUGCAUACUAAAUGUUCAAUUAACAGGAGCUAUUGUUACUCUGAAAAUCAGAAACCCUGACAGAGGCAAGUGGGCCAAGUUUGCCUUCAGUAAGUCUAACCUCUCCUCUUAAUUCUUCUAGAGAUUCUCUUUUCUCCAAACUCCAGUGCUUCUAGCUUUAAGAUGGCCUGCUUUUCUUUCACUCUUUCCCUCUUCCUUCUCUCUUUUCUUUUUCCUUUCUUUCCUCUUUUUUCUCUUUCCACCCCUCCUUCCUCUAGACAGACAAGGAAGUAUCUGAUAUUUCCUUUAUGUCCAGUCAAAUCUUUGUUCUCAUAUAUCCUGAAAAAUUGCAUUUUAAUCAGUCUUACUGUAGAAUGAAAGACUUUGC